AUGCACAGAGACAGUCCCACUCUCUUGGCUUUGGAAGCCUGGGUCCAGUGGCACAAAAAGUCGUUACACCUGGAGACUUCCUCAGCUGCAUUGGGUGGCCGUGUUGUCCUUUGUGCUCCUACACGCCCUAAGCACUCCACAGUGCCUUGCUGCGUCGCCAUCUCAGCCGUUGAACCUUCUUGUUGGUUUCUUCCACCUCUUCCGCCGAAGCAGUCUUCACAUGCUGGAAAUGAGGCCAGAGAGUUUGUGGUAAGGAUGGCUCCACAGAAGAUCAUCACUCUGGAGGCAUCUCCAUCUGCCAGCAGGACAUCUCUUCCCCUGUGGGUAUCAUGGAUGUCAUUUAAAUGCCAGAUCCCCUUUCACAACGGGAAAUGGGAAAUGUCUGAAGUUCAAAAGUACUUGCUACCCUCAAAUAUUGUGAGAAAUCUUCUUCCAUUGAUCUAUUGUUGUUCCUGUUGGCUCUAAAUAUCAUGAAGAAUGACACUGUGUCACAGAGCCCUCAAGUGUUUACUUUUUCAUGACGAAUACUAUAAAUUCUCUUCAUGUAGUGAAUAAACAUUUUUAUGCAGCUGCGACUUCUUAAAUG
rnacentral:lncRNA from 1 species